AGCUUUGUACAGUGGCAGUAUCGUAGCCAAUGAGGUUUAUCCGAGGCACGAUUACUGCUAAUUGAAAAUAUACAUCUGUUAACAUUUAUUUUUAGAGUAGGACUUUAUGUCAUAUGUAACACAGGCUUACAGAUACAU
rnacentral:snRNA from 1 species